rnacentral:rRNA from 1 species
AUUGAACGCUGGCGGCAUGCCUUACACAUGCAAGUCGAACGGCAGCACAGGGGCAACCCUGGUGGCGAGUGGCGGACGGGUGAGUAAUGCAUCGGAACGUGCCCUGAAGUGGGGGAUAACGCAGCGAAAGCUACGCUAAUACCGCAUAUUCUGUGAGCAGGAAAGCAGGGGAUCGCAAGACCUUGCGCUUUGGGAGCGGCCGAUGUCGGAUUAGCUAGUUGGUGGGGUAAAGGCCUACCAAGGCGACGAUCCGUAGCGGGUCUGAGAGGAUGAUCCGCCACACUGGGACUGAGACACGGCCCAGACUCCUACGGGAGGCAGCAGUGGGGAAUAUUGCACAAUGGGCGAAAGCCUGAUGCAGCAACGCCGCGUGAGCGAUGGAGGCCUUCGGGUCGUAAAGCUCUGUCCUCAAGGAAGAUAAUGACGGUACUUGAGGAGGAAGCCCCGGCUAACUACGUGCCAGCAGCCGCGGUAAU